rnacentral:rRNA from 1 species
UGGGGAAUAUUGGACAAUGGGGGGAACCCUGAUCCAGCCAUGCCGCGUGUGUGAAGAAGGCCUUAUGGUUGUAAAGCACUUUAAGCGAGGAGGAGGGUACUGGUAUUAAUACUACCAGGUACUGGACGUUACUCGCAGAAUAAGCACCGGCUAACUCUGUGCCAGCAGCCGCGGUAAUACAGAGGGUGCGAGCGUUAAUCGGAUUUACUGGGCGUAAAGCGUGCGUAGGCGGCUAAUUGAGUCGGAUGUGAAAUCCCCGAGCUUAACUUGUGAAUUGCAUUCGAUACUGGUUAGCUAAGGUGUGGGAGAGGAUGGUAGAAUUCCGGGUGUAGCGGUAAAAUGCGUAGGGAUCUGGAGGAAUACCGAUGACGAAGGCAGCCAUCUGACCGAACACUGACGCUGAGGUACGAACGCAUGGGGAGCAAACAGG